UUGCAGUGGGAUUUCAAACUAAUUUUUUCAGGUACAAGCACAUGGCACAUAUCAAGAGGAUAAUGGAACAUUUAAUUAGUAACAAAAGAUCUUUCAACCUUCUCUGCAGACUGAAAAGCUUGUCUUCAAGUCAUCCGAGUUGUAAAAGAAAAGGGAUGCCUCAUUAAUAGAGUCUCCACAGCAUCCCCAUCAGUCAUUUCAGAACACAGACUUCAUUCUCUUUAUUAUCUUCAAAAAUACUUCAUCACAAAUGUUCAGAGGAUAACAUAAUGAAAAUCAAUAACAAAUCAUAUUUUUGUUAGCAAUCAAAAUUAUUUCAGUACUUCAUAAAGGGCCAAUAACUUAAUUUAACUCAUCCAAUGAAGUUAAUCAUAAUUGAGCUUUCAGCUUAGAGAAAAACCAAAGCUAGACAGGCAGUACUGCAACCACACACACUGGGGAAGCCAGAAUGUUGAAAUAUUAGUACAGAUCAAUUAUUAUUUAUGGAAUAGAGGGAAAAUCAGAAGCUUUGCAUAGUGCUCGUGGUUUGUAAGUAUCUUCCAAUCCGAGGUUCAGAAAGCUUCAUUAAACUUGAAAAUUAAUUAGUGGGCCUAAUGAUUCCCUCUUUGGCAAUGUGAAAUGAACAGGAACAAUUUUUUCUGGCCACAUUUGUCCUCUCUAGAAAUGUUUCGCAGUAUGUUACAAUAACUAACCAGCAUUUCUGCUCUCCUGUGCUAAGACAGGUUUUUUCAGUUUUCUUUUUUGCACCACUAUUCUUAUUACUACAUGAGUCCAAAAUACUCAGAUAGAACUGAACAGCUAAAUGGCUUAUGAUAUCAAAGAAAGCUUCAAGGAAUAUCAGGGACAUUCUUUCCCUGUCUGCUGAAUUUCUGGUCUGAAUAAUAAAGCAAGAUCAGAACCAGAGCUGCAUCACAGACCAGUAUUCGUGGAAAAUAACAUUACCACUGUUUUUAUGAUGACUCAUAUCCUAUGAUUUUCAACCUCUCUUGACAGCCACGCUGAGCCACAAACAGCAUUAAUGUCACACUAGAAGAAAAACGCAAAUCCUAAGUGCCAUUUCUGAGAAAAGCUAAUCUGCUCUUUUCCAUGCUCAACUCUUGUAAAAGGUAAACCUGCAGGACAGUAACAAAGUCAAUGGGCAAUGCAGACUGUCAGUACUCCUCAAAAUAAACAUCACAAAAUAGAAAACAUAUUUUGCCACAGAAAUAAAAACAAAGUCCUAAAGAAUUCCAUACUGAUACUGUCAUUGUAUGACAACAACUUUGCAUGCCACCUUUCCAAUGCAGAUUGAGUCAUGAAAAAUAGAAUAAGUUGAAGAUUGUAUAGAAGAAGCUCAACUAAAUUCAAUCAAUUGCACAGUUCCAUUCUUUAACCUUGUUUCAGCAGCAAAUAAAAUCAUCCCUGAAACACUGUCUUUUAUACCCAUCCUGCAUGAAGAAAGAUUUACUCAUUAACUACCUCUCAAGCUAAGGAACUGCUCUAAAAGCAGAACCCAGUACCAUGUUGUGUUAGCACAGCUGCUUACACUGGCAGUGACUUAGGCAUUCUCUAUGCUUUUGCACUGCCCAUUAAUACCAGAACACCGCUAUCCCCCUGAACCCACAAGAUGGCCCACGGAUAGUGUGCAUCUAUUGUACAUGCAAAAAGAGUUGGCCAUUUAUGUAUUUUGCCUAUAUUACUGUAACAACAACGUGCUUUAUAAAGCAAUGACGAAUUUUACAGUAAUUAGAAAGCCCAGUCAGGGGAGAAAUCUGAAAAUGCAGCAGAUUUGGUUUGAUGCAGUGAUAGCUGAACAGAGAAGAAGAACUGGAGGAAAGAAGAAGUAUUUGAAAUUACAGACAAACUAAGCCUGUAAUUAAAAGUAUAUGUAACAUAUGUUUGAAAUCUGUUCUUCUCAACAAGGGCUCUGACUUGGGAACAUGUUUCUUGACUCUGUUCUCCAGCGCCUUUCCUCUCAAUGAAAUAACUGGCUCAUAGUUUUUCUGGAGAUAAAUUUCAUCUCACAAGAAGAAUUAUCAAGAGCUAAUAGCAAAUGCAGCUUCGGCUUAGUAAGUCAUACGCCAUCAUAAAACAUUUCUGAAUACAGAUACCAUCACAUUCGGUUCCCAGUCAAGAUUCAUCGACUAGCUGGAUUCAGAAAUGCAGUCUUGUUAUUCCACAGAAGCAAAGAAGGAUGACAGCUUUGAGACAUUGCUAUUUAAUGUGACAGACAGAUUGUAAAAGUGGGAAGUAAGGCAAGCCCAAUCUCAGAUUUAGGACGAAUUCUGAAUUUUAUAGCUCAAUGCCACCCGUUGUGCAAAUUGGUCUGGUUUAUCUUUUUACACACACAACCCAAAGUUCUUAAUUUAAAUCAACUACAUUUUCAUAAGAAAUCAAUAGGGAGACAGUUUAUGUAAUUCUAGUUCCUCUGCUCCACCCCCACAGCUGAGAUGACUCACAAUCCUCAAAGUACUUUCAGCAUUCAGAGUUAUUAAUGCUUUGCCCAUUCAGUUUACUGUGGUAUUAGUUAUAUACUGAGAUGCAUACACCUGCUUUACAGCUGCAUGAAAAAUAAGCUGCUCGACAGCAAGGUAAAACCUUGCAUAACUUCUGCAAGAAAAAAGAAUCUGAUUUCUACAGUUUGCUAUGCUCCCUGAAGAAAGGGUGAAAUGUCAGCAAAUUUUAAUGAGUUCUCUUAAGGGAAAAUGAGAGAAAUCUGAAGAAUUAUACUUGCAGAUUAAAAUAUGGUAAUCUGAAAUUUCUGUAGAGCUCUAGUGUCAAACCCCAAAGCUGGAAGGGCACCCAGUGAACUACAAUUCACAGCGACUGCCAACUGCACUUCCCAGGGAUUUUGCACAUCAGUUGUUAGCGGAUUAUGUUUUACUAGAGACCGGGUGAAAACUAAUCACUCUCACUUGGAAAAUACUCCAAUUUUCCUUCUCCCUUCCGCUUCCAGUGAAAGUUAAAAACAUUAAACACGGUAAUUUAUGCCUGAGUCCUCAUCAAAAGCACUUGAAAUACUUCCUGCUGCAUACUCUGUAUCGCUAUGCAGAACCCAAGGGUGCACACACAAGGACAGAUAGUUCAGAACUGAGCUGGCUCUGGAAAUUGGAUCACAUUGAGCUACAAUCAUUCAUGGUGAUCCUUCUACAUAUCUUUUAGUGAAGACAUGCUUGCAACUGCAGAGUCUGGAGCUUUCCCUAAGUACCUACAGAAUGCUUAAAUGAUGGGACUUGUCUGCCUUUGUCCAGCCCAGCUGGUGAAACAGAAAUGAUUAGUGGAAACAAAAUCACUUCGUUUGUUUUUUAAAGAGGUAAGCAACAGAGUAGCAGCAACAAUGAAAACAGGUCAUUCUAAUUGGGUGUGGGGAAAAUUGCAGCAGUGGUAGCAUACCAUAUUACCAUGGUGUAAGUGUACACAAGUACGUGAUAGGGAAGUAAUAAUAAGCUGACUUGCUUUGUCUAGUGCAAAAGGAUGUGUGGAUGCAUAGCCCCUUGGCUAGGUUUAUUUUUAUUUCAUUCACAUCAGCUAGAAAUGAUUCUUAAGAGAAACUAGACAUGCUUCCAAAACCAAAGUUAAAAACAUCAGUGAGGGUAUAAAAUUACUCUAAUACUGAACUAAUCCUCUAUGCAUGAGUAUGCAGUGUAUGGACAUACGAUACAGUGGAUUUCUCAAGACCUUUCAUCUUGAAGAUGCAGAAAGGUUAUAUGGGAGACCAAAGCAAAGCCAAAUUUUGCUGAUUAAUAUAUUUUUAACCUUGACCACGCUACCAGGAAAACAUCAAUCCCAAUUUUUCCAUUUUAUCUAUGUUAUGCAUGAGGAAAAUGUACACACAAAAUCUGCAGCAUACUAUAAGGGGUGCUGGUAUCUGGAGCCCACAGCGUAGGUUGUUCUGGAAGUAAUGUCUUUCUUUCCAUCCAUUCCAAACUUUUUUCCUGGACUUGCUAUUUAGAUAUAGUUUCUGACUAAUUGUUCUUCAUAGGUGGAACAAAGCACACCAGUUUUACAUUGCUAGAAUUUUAUACUUCAUGUUCUUUGGCUGCCUAGCACAUCAUUUUUCAAAAGGAAAAUUGGGAUUACGUCGGCCCUGGGAGAUGUACAAUGGAGUUAGGCAGAACAAAAGACUGGUCUCUCAUAGCUAUAACUGUCUCAUCAUAGUACUUAUGCCUAACAGAUUCAACUGUAUUUAGCAUCAUGUACUAAGGACAGUACCUUGCUUACAGUGUGCUACCCUGCAGCUAUUCUUGAAUUCAUGCAGCACAGUUGGUAAGUCUAAUUGUAUUUAACAAUUUCUUUUACAACAAAUACUUUUACAUGAAAAUAAGCAACAGUAAAUGAAGUCCCACAGGAUUAAUCUGCCACGUCAACUAUUCUCAAAAGACAAACACCCUGGAGCAUUUCUAGAAUCCUAUGAAUGCUAGUAGUCUGCCACCACUUUUCCACAAUGAGAGGAAUCUCAUAAAAGUUAAAUAAUAAGAAAAUGUUUUCAUUCCAGAACAUGAGAUUUUUUCUUAUCUGAUAAGCUUAUAUUGUAAAAGAAACUACUGCUACUAUAUGGGUGUACUGAACAGCCACUACCAUAAAUUUGCAUUGGUGACAUGAAGGUAAUUUAGUCUUGCUCUCAGUUCAGAGCCCUCUAAACAAGAAUCUGUUGCACUAAUGCAAGCAACCCCUUGACUUACAUGUUAUGGAUAGUCCUAUUUUACUACAAACAAACUGCUAAGCAUUUUCACUACAACAGAGUGGCACUACCAAACAGGGUUACAGCUUUGUAAUUGGUACCUCUUAAGGGACUAAGGGUCUGCCGGGUGCAUGUUUACCAACAUCACUUGCUCAGUCUUGUUUGAACAGAAACAAAACAAAAUGAGGAAGUUCAUGUAAGCAAUUGGCGUACUCGUUAAUACAUUUUAAAUAAAUAAGAUACUUGCUCGCAUGUAUUAAACAAAUAAAGUAAUGCUUUAUGUAUGCUAAGUUUAUUUUGCAGUUGCAGAAAAAUGAAUACUGUUGAAUACUAGGUUUUUUGAGACGUGAAUCCAGCUCUGCCUCAAAGAGACAUCAACAAAGCUUAGAUUUUCUGCAGAAGUUUCAUUUAGCAAGAAAAAAAACUGGAUAAUUGAUUGAAAAAGAAAUAUUUAUGAAUGAGGUUAAACAGUAACUGCUGAGUCACAGCCUGAGCUGCUGAUUGAGCACCUGGGGAAAGGACCCAGUCAGUCCUGUGAGCACAGGUGAAGGGAAUUCAGCUGUGGAGCUGGAAGGGGUGGAGGCUGGCUGCACCUUUCCUAGACCCCAUUUAAAGGCUGACUCCCUCUGAGGAAGGUUUUCUGGUUGGAUUUCUUUCUUCUAUGGGGUUUUUCCUGUAAACCUUGAUCUUCGCAGAAGAUGCCCUCUCAGGGAACAGAUGAUAACUGCAGUGGUGCCUGGAAGUUUCUAUGGCAUUAAAAGCUGAACACCAAGAGAAUUUAACCAUCUGCAUUAAGGCAGAGUCCACUCUAAUCUGCUUGAAAAGGAAGCCAUGAAAAUGCUGACUUCACUUCUGGAGCAGCCCUCGUACUCCCUGAUACUGAGGAGGUUCACCCUUGGAGAUUCAUAAAUCCAAUACAUGACCUGUGAUGAAGAUAAGUACAAGCAAAACCAAAAACUAGAGGAAGAUUAAAUGAAUUCCUACUGGGUUUUCCAGGACCUCAGGCAAGUCUUUCAGGUGGCCAGGUGUGAUAAAAGGCAUUAAACAGAAUACCGGUUGCAUUUUAUUGUGUUUGCAUCUAGGAAAACCAGUUUAUGUAGAGUUCUAAAUUUAUCUUUGAAGUUGAGAAUAAAUUGCUCGCUUUUGUUUUUGUUGCUCCGCACUGGUUCUAUUUUCCUUCAGUUUUGUUCUGCAUUUAUGAAGCUAAAGAUCUCAUUUGUUAUUGUGUUCGUUCACAGGUCUCAGCAGGUGAUUUUGUUGCACAUUAACUGCUGUGAUGUGUAUUGGACAUAAAAGACAUAGCAAAUCUUGAUUUAUGCAAAGAUUAACAGUGUCUCUAAGCACAUCAAUUAGCCAUUCCUUGAUUUCGUGUUGAUGUUUUUGCCAGUAAUGUAAUGACAUUGUGAGGUGGCAAUUAGAAAACACAGGCAAAGAGAAGCAGGAUCCUGCUUCACUUGGGAUUCAAAGAUAUGUAGGAUCACUUUCUUCUUUAGAGUUUUAUUAAAAAAUUGAACUAUGAUUUGAGUACAGAAUAACAGGAAGAUAUGAAGAUAAGAUUUAAUGAAGGGAGGAGAGGAACAAUGUAUGAAGCAGAAAGACCUAAGGCGAAGAGUCCUGCCCUCUCUCACAUUAGAUCCUGACAGAUCCACAGCAGUUUCUAGAAUAUAAGAUGAUGGAAUUAAUUGUUUCUUAAUAUAUGUUACAGCCUAAGACAAAGAAGAACCUAAGAAUAAACAGCAUAAUUCAUCUUUCUCAUACUUUUGUCUAUCCUAAUGUUAUCUUAAUACUGAACAAUAUCACUUAAACAACAGUCUUGCUGUAACUGGAGGGGGGAAGAAAAAGAAAAGGACUCUUCUGAAAUAAAUGUUGAGAUUUCUGUGCAUUAUCUUUCAAAGACAGGCAGAAACAUUCAGUGUGUGUUUGUUUAAACUUUAAUCCAAAAUAAGACCUUGUUACUGUUGGCUCUUACCAAGUAAGCCUAGAGCAUAUAGCAGCUUUUGCCAAGAAACACUGGGAUUCUUCCUUGUAGAGUAAUUCCCAAGCUUCUGAUGGUCUUGUUCCCACAGUGCAUCAUUAGCUAGAGAACUAAAGAAAAUGGAUUCUUUUACGUAGGAACAGUUAUUAAUAGAGUCCAUGCUCACUUCUGUUGUAUGCCAUGCAAGGACACACAAAUUGACCAACAUAGAUGACACAUUUUGUUUUCUUAAGUGGCCACUGAGGUAUGCAGGGAUAAGACAGAAAAUAGCAAUCUUAGUGGUGAUUAAUUUUGGGGUCACAACAGGGGUACUAAUGAAAUGGAAAUCACGUUAGAAGUAUUCACUGCAUCUCUGUUUCAAGAGUGUUGGGAUUUUAGGCUUGCACAGAGUACAUUUGGCACGCAUUUUAGCAGCGUUUCAUUCCUUUUUUCAGUGGGGAUUUUUGCUGAGACAUCUAUGAAUCGUUUGACCCUUCUCUUGAUUAUUUACAGUCUUCUAUACAGCUGCUCUUUCUUUUAUUAUGCUAAGAAAAGCGGAAGAAAGAGAAAUCAAAGCUUAAAGUAAACUAUAACUUUUAAUCCUGUCUUUUAAACUGUCUGCUCAGCAGCCUGGUUCACAUGCAGUUCCUGGUUUCUGCCAGCAGCUUGCGCCGUUUAUCUUCUUCGCACCCAGAAGCACAAGACUUCCAACAGAAAUCUCUCUGGAGCUGCAAGUGUGACAAACAAGAGGAACAACACGAAGGCUGUAAAAGAGAAGCAUCCCUACUUUUGAUCCGCCUCUGGGUGGUGUAUUGAAAGUAGGAAUCAGGUAAAUAGGGACUUUGUAUGAAGGUUAAGUAUCCUAGGCUUUGGGGAGUGUCAGAAGAAAAGGACCAGUGGGACAUGUUGACAUCACUAUAGUUAUUUCUUGGAAAUUUGAUGAAUAUGUAUGCGCUUGCUAUAUAACUUUCUAAUGCUUCUGUCCAUUGCAUGAUAGGAGGGGUGAUCCCCCAUGUGCCCAGCGCUGAAUAAACAUGUACCUGCUUUGUAACCUAAUUCUGGUUAUAGAGUCUGAUUCCACACUUCAGUAUGAGAGUGAAACACGAAGGUAAGGCAGGAGAUGUACAGUGUAAGCACUUCUAUGUAACAAAGUGCUGCAUUCCCUAACCAGAACUGCAUGAUUUAAUGUGGCCCCAAAGUAAAACAUGCAGCUGCAUAUAUCAAUUAUUUGAAGCAGCCUAAACAGUUUACAGCCUCAAAAAUCAUAAGAAAUGAUGGACCGGGGAGGGGGUGGAAAGCUUUGGAAAUAUAUUCUGCAGUACAGUACAAAACAACCUGUUAUUGGCACACCCCAGUCUUGUUGUGAGACUUUUCUUUUUAAUAACACUGCUUAUAACUGUAUAUGAUAAUGUUAAGCCCUCCAAACACACACACACUUGGUUGUUCAGCUGACAGAUGGGGUCUUUAUUAUGAACACCUAUGGAGCCUCUGGAAGCACUGCUUUCUGUAAACAAAGCAUAGCUGCUGCCUGGAAAAUAGCUCAUGCAGGCAACUUGGUGACAUGGCAACUAUCUGGCUUCUCAAGUAUGACAGGAGCUGACAAUACUCGUUUCAUACCAAAAUCCAAAAAGCUUAGAAGCUGAAACAGGUAUAUUUAAGCUAUCUUCAAAUGCUCAGUAUCUAAAAGCAGUAUUCGAUACGCAAGUUUAAAGCAGUAGGCUGUUAAAAUUUAUUUUUUGCCCCAUUUCCAAUCAUUUUCCAUCAGUCUGAUCCUGUCCAUUCAUCAGCCUGUGUGCUUCCCCUAAUGCUUCUAAUGAAAAUAAUAUGAAGUUAAUCAAUCUUUGAGCCAGUAUUACUACUAUCAUGCAAAUAUCUCGUGAAAGAAAUACUGCGCAAAAGGUGUCUGUGGUAUUUGCCAUGUCUUAUCCACUACGUACAAGCAAAGCAGAGCUUAGAAAGAGAGCUUAACAUUAGAGGUGGAAAUGCAUACAAUACUUUCACUCUUCCUCCUCUUGUGAUGUUUUCCUUCCCUCUUUUUGUGCAAGAGAACAAUAGGGAAUUGCUUUUUAUUAAGUGCAGAACUUAUGUUCUUUGAACACUGUGGAGAGCGAUGUUAACUAAUUAUAAUCUAGUCCACCACCACUGAAUGUAGAACAGGAUCAGAAGAAUAAUGUAUUUUCACUGGCAGCAGCAUUAUGCUGGGAGUCAAGUGGGGAAACAGGUCUGAGACUUGGCUGUGCUACCUGAAUGAGAGGUGUUCUCAGUCUAGUUUUAAUGAGAAAUUCCACCAAGGAUAAAAAAAUUAUUUCAGAGUAAAGUCUUAUUGAACUUUGCAUGCAGCUACAUUCAGUUUCGGCUUUGAUAAAUUAACAUUUCUGAUCUAAUGCCAGGCCUGCCAAAGAAACCUGCCAUUCUUUGAUUCACACAAACCAAGCAAAAACCGUGAAGAGCACUGAGUGAUCACAAACUUACAAGUUCUACUGAAACAGCAGCUAUGCACUCCCAUGUCUGUUUCACAAAAGCAGAGGUGAAAGAGACUCUUGCAACUAUUCCAGUGGCACUGAAAGCUAGAAAACAUCAAAUAUAGUGGCAGCAAGGAAAAUCCAUCUAUGCAGUAUAAUUACAUAUUAGAUCUUUACUGGCUUGUAAAGGAGAACUUGAAAAAGAAUAUGGAAACAGAAAGCUUAAGUAGUUCCAUAAGUAAUGCCUCCUAUUUAUUUCCAUAGAAAUUACAACAGAAUACAAUGAGAUAGCAGGAUGCUGCAAUCUAUUGCACUGUAAUAAAAUGUAAUGGAAUAUUGGUGGGAAUGUUCAGCCUCUAUUGCCAUACAACCAGCAGCUGCCUCUGAUGUUGCUGAUCAAGAUCACAAAAUAGGAGGCAUUACUUUUGGAUCAGCCUUCAUAUGAAAAAAAAUGAAUGCAUCAUACUGAACCAUUAAUUCAGCUCCUCCUGCAAUGUGAUUUGUCUCUCGUUGCUGCAGUUAACAGAGAGUCUAUGAAACUCCAAACACAAUUAAGUCUUGGCAGAAGUGCGGUUGGAGGCUACGGCAGUUUCUAUAGCAACCCAAAAGGCUCAAGACUAGUAACAGGAGAUCAACUUUAAGGCAAGAUAAAUACAUAAAUAUAGCUCUCAUUUACCAUUUCCUUUGCUUCCAAAGGGCAACAUGUUUUCCCCCUAAACAAUGCAGAAAUACAGUCAGAUGUCCCAUUCAUUAUUAACCAGGGUAAAAAUAAUUUUUACAAACAUUCUGUUAGAAAAAUUCUAACAAUUUCACAGUUGGGAGAAUCAUCUGAAUUUCUCUUAUUAAUCCAGUCAAAAUGGAGAGCACCAGACUUGAAUGCUGCCAGAAGACUUAGAAUGAGGCUUCAAAAUAUGUAAUGCUACAGUCAUAAUAAGAGAUUGCUGAUGCUGACACACUGUAUGCUUAUGAACAAAUUAUCUCAAUGCAUUUUACUGGAUUAUGCUUUGGGUCAAGUUUUAAGUUUCAAGAACAGCAAAAUAAAGUAUUUUUGUAAGCA